UGCCAACAUACCUCCCUUCUUGUUAUAAAGAGAAGGGAAGGAAAAGGGAGGGGAAAGCCAAUGGUGAAAAGGGAACGAGAAUGCCGCAUCUCUUAAACUGCUUCCUGCUGUCUAGGGGCAUAGUCAAUUUCAGGGCAUAGCUGGCUUUCACCAUCAGGAUCCACGUGAUAAUCUAUGGACAGGGGCUCUUCUUUGGGCAGCGGCUGCUAAUCCUGUAACAGGAGCUGAUUAAUAGUUCAGUUAGAAAUUUUUUGUAUUUGCCAUUGAAGGAAUGUAGAAACAAGAUUAAUGAGGCAGAGAUCAAAUAACACCAGGAAGAUGACUAGGAAAGGUGUUAUGAAAGGGAGUAUCCACUUCCAAAUAGGAUUUUCCUAAGUCCCAGAACUGGAGGUCUCACAGUCUCUGAAGUUCUUUAUGUCUGACUGUAGCUCCUGGAUUUUAUUUCUCACUAUCCCAGAUUGGUUGACGUAGAAACAGCAUUCUUCUUGGAGAAACAGGCAAAGACUACCUUCUUUAGCUGUCAGGACAUCUAGCCCCCGACGGUUUUGAAACACCACAGCUGCCAAAGAAUCAGACUCUUCCUGGAUAUUACAUAGAGGGAAAAAGAACGAGUCAGGGCAGGAAGAUGUGAACAACUUUGAGCAGAGAAUCGAUGCAAAAGCAAGAAAAAUUUUAUUGUUCCAGCAUGCUGGUAUUGCCCUGCACAUAAAGGAGAGUGAGAGAACAGCCCAUUUGAGAGCUAUUUCAUCAGGACCUGAGAAAGCUUAGCCCUCAGAAGUGCUUAUAGUGAGACCACACAAUGACAUGCAACAUCACUCAGACUCGCUCUCUUACUGCAGACCCGAGGCACUGGCCCAAGCAUUCCACCAGGCUCCACCCAAACCCACCAGCUGGACGAGGAACCACGGGACGUUAGAAUCAGAGUAACUUUGGCCAACAAUCUGAGACACUUGGGAGAAAAUUCAUUCUAAAUCUAACAGCUUCCUGCUCUCAGGAAGGCCUCUGGGCUUCCGGUGCCUCUGGUCCUCCUUCCCGGCUCUUCUGUGGAGGCUAGCUUCCUCCAAGCUGACCCCGAGGGAGCCGCCUUCUCGUAGGUGGAAAGCGAAGAGAAGAGAGCGGGUAAGCAGUGGAGACACAUUGGCUGUACUCAGGACCUGUACCAGAGGUGGCAGGAGGACACCACCGAGCCCUGCUCCACCCAUCGCAGCCUCGAGACCCUCUGCGCGGGGAUGCUGACCCCUGCUGGCCACCUGAGAGAUUGCAGCGUGGCCGACUCCCAAGGGGCGGCAAGUGUAAGGGUAAGGGUAAGGAGAUGGGGAUGGGAAAGGGGUUGCUGUGUAGUAAGCGUG
rnacentral:lncRNA from 1 species